rnacentral:rRNA from 1 species
CCUACGGGAGGCAGCAGUUGGGAAUAUUGCACAAUGGGCGCAAGCCUGAUGCAGCCAUGCCGCGUGUGUGAAGAAGGCCUUCGGGUUGUAAAGCACUUUCAGCGGGGAGGAAGGCGGUGAGGUUAAUAACCUCAUCGAUUGACGUUACCCGCAGAAGAAGCACCGGCUAACUCCGUGCCAGCAGCCGCGGUAAUACGGAGGGUGCAAGCGUUAAUCGGAAUUACUGGGCGUAAAGCGCACGCAGGCGGUCUGUCAAGUCGGAUGUGAAAUCCCCGGGCUCAACCUGGGAACUGCAUUCGAAACUGGCAGGCUAGAGUCUUGUAGAGGGGGGUAGAAUUCCAGGUGUAGCGGUGAAAUGCGUAGAGAUCUGGAGGAAUACCGGUGGCGAAGGCGGCCCCCUGGACAAAGACUGACGCUCAGGUGCGAAAGCGUGGGGAGCAAACAGGAUUAGAUACCCUAGUAGUC